rnacentral:rRNA from 1 species
AUGAAUUAAGUACUAGUAUAUAUCAUUUACAAUGAUAAGGUCUAUUAAAUAGAAUUCAUUAUUUAUAUCGUAAGAAAAAUUAUAUGUUUAUAUACCUUUUGCAUAAUGGUUUAAUAAAAAAAUAAAAUUAAUGUACCCGAAAUUAGAAGAUCUAACCUAUUAGUAAAGUUUAAAUAAUGUUUCAAAAUUAUUAUUUAGUAAAAGUUAGGGGUGAAAGGCCUAUCAAUUCUAAUAAUAUCUGGAAUAAUUUUAAAUGUAUUUAGUACAAAAUAAAAUUUGAAUAAAAAAAUGUUAAUUUUUUUAUAAAGAAUUGAAAUAAAUUAAUUUAAGAAUUAAUCUUCAAUUAAAUAAAAAAAAAUUUUUUAUUAAAUAAAUCUUUAUAUUAAAAUUAUAUUUAAUAUUAUUAAAAAAUUAAUUAUGUUAAAAUUAGUAUAAAUAUUAUUAUUUUUUUAAGGAACUCGGCUCUCAUCUGUUUAUCAAAAACAUAGUCUUAUGAAUAUAUUAGGUGAAACCUGCCCACUGAUUUUUAACGGCCGCAGUACUUUGACUGUGCUAAGGUAGCAUAAUAAAUUGACUCUUAAUUGGGGCCUUGAAUGAAAGGAUUAAUGGGUAAUUUCUGUCUUAAAUAAAUAAAUUUUAAUUUACUUAAAAGGUGAAAAUUCCUUUAAUAUAAUAAAAUAGACGAGAAGACCCUAGGAGUUAUUUUGUUGGGGCGACAAUAUAGCAUAACCUAUUAUUUAUAAAAAACGAAAUAUUUUAAUAAUAAUUUAACUACCCUAGGGAUAACAGCAUAAUUUAAUUUUAAGUUUGUGACCUCGAUGUUGGACUAGGAACUUUUAAAGCUAAUCGCGUUAA